GGAAUUGCUCAAGGCCAGGCUGGAUGAGGCUUUGAGCAACCUGGUCUAGUGCAGAUGCAAAAGCGACUCUGGCUCCUGGAACUGAAAGCACAUGUGCACAGCACUUGGAGCCAGCACUUGGCCUUGCCUGCACAGACUGGGAGCACACAUCACAGGGUUUUUACAUCUUCCUCUGAGGAAGCAUAGUGUUUGAUAGCACAAGUAACUAAGGGAAAAGACCAGGAGCACCUCAAAUCAACGAUGGAGAAUAUUGGGCUAGCAAAAGAAAAUAGGGUUUG